CGGGCAGGUGGUCCGCUAAGUCGUCUGUGAAAACCCGGGGCUCAACCCCGUGGAAUGCAGGCGAAACUGGCGGACUGGAGAUCGGUAGAGGCUAACGGAAUUCCUGGUGUAGCGGUGGAAUGCGUAGAUAUCAGGAAGAACACCAGUGGCGAAGGCGGUUAGCUGGGCCGAGUCUGGCACUCAUCCGCGAAAGCGUGGGGAGCAAACAGGAUUAGAUACCCUGGUAGUCC
rnacentral:rRNA from 1 species